rnacentral:snoRNA from 1 species
CUUCUAUUUAUUCCACUAGCCAUAAGGAAUCAAAAAGCUGGGUAGUGUAUGCAGCCUGUUGCUUGUACAGGCUGCCCUAAGGGACCCUGGAGACAGCC